rnacentral:rRNA from 1 species
AUUGAACGCUGGCGGCAGGCUUAACACAUGCAAGUCGAGCGAGCGGCGGACGGGUGAGUAAUGUCUGGGAAACUGCCUGAUGGAGGGGGAUAACUACUGGAAACGGUAGCUAAUACCGCAUACCAUCAGAUGUGCCCAGAUGGGAUUAGCUAGUAGGUGGGGUAAAGGCUCACCUAGGCGACGAUCCCUAGCUGGUCUGAGAGGAGGACCAGUCAAACUGGAACGGUGACACGGUCCAGACUCCUACGGGAGGCAGCAGUGGGUAAUAUUGCACAAUGGGCGCAAGCCUGAUGCAGCCAUGCCGCGGGUAUGAAGAAGGCCUUCGGGUUGUAAAGCACUUUCAGCGGGGAGGCGUUACUCGCAGAAGAAGCACCGGCUAACUCCGUGCCAGCAGCCGCGGUAAUUC